GACGAACGCUGGCGGCGUGCUUAACACAUGCAAGUCGAACGCUGAAGCUCAGCUUUUGUUGGGUGGAUGAGUGGCGAACGGGUGAGUAACACGUGAGUAACCUGCCUCCUUCUUUGGGAUAACGCCCGGAAACGGGUGCUAAUACUGGAUAUUCACUGGUCUUCGCAUGGGGGUUGGUGGAAAGGGUUUUUCUGGUGGGGGAUGGGCUCGCGGCCUAUCAGCUUGUUGGUGGGGUGAUGGCCUACCAAGGCUUUGACGGGUAGCCGGCCUGAGAGGGUGACCGGUCACAUUGGGACUGAGAUACGGCCCAGACUCCUACGGGAGGCAGCAGUGGGGAAUAUUGCACAAUGGGCGCAAGCCUAAUGCAGCGACGCCGCGUGAGGGAUGGAGGCCUUCGGGUUGUGAACCUCUUUCGCUCAUGGUCAAGCCGCAACAAUGGUUGUGGUGAGGGUAGUGGGUAAAGAAGCGCCGGCUAACUACGUG
rnacentral:rRNA from 1 species